rnacentral:rRNA from 1 species
GACCAGACUCCUACGGGAGGCAGCAGUGGGGAAUAUUGGACAAUGGGGGGAACCCUGAUCCAGCAACGCCGCGUGAGUGAAGAAGUAUUUCGGUAUGUAAAGCUCUCUCAGCAGGGAAGAAAGAAAUGACAGUACCUGACCAAGAAGCCCCGGCUAACUACGUGCCAGCAGCCGCGGUAAUACGUAGGGGGCAAGCGUUAUCCGGAUUUACUGGGUGUAAAGGGGGCGCAGACGGCAGCGCAAGCCAGGAGUGAAAGCCCGGGGCCCAACCCCGGGACUGCUCUUGGAACUGCGCGGCUGGAGUGCAGGAGAGGCAGGCGGAAUUCCUAGUGUAGCGGUGAAAUGCGUAGAUAUUAGGAGGAACACCAGUGGCGAAGGCGGCCUGCUGGACGGUAACUGACGCUGAGGCUCGAAAGCGUGGGGAGCAAACAGGAUUAGAUACCCUGGUAU